rnacentral:rRNA from 1 species
CCUACGGGCGGCUGCAGUGGGGAAUUUUGGACAAUGGGGGCAACCCUGAUCCAGCCAUGCCGCGUGAGUGAAGAAGGCCUUCGGGUUGUAAAGCUCUUUCGGCCGGGAAGAAAUCGCUCAAGCUAAUACCUUGGGUGGAUGACGGUACCGGAAGAAGAAGCACCGGCUAACUACGUGCCAGCAGCCGCGGUAAUACGUAGGGUGCGAGCGUUAAUCGGGCGUGCUGGGCGUGAAGCGUGCGCAGGCGGCGAAAUCCCCGGGCUGAACCUGGGAACUGCGUUUGUGAAUGUGGGGCUCGAGUGCGGCAGAGGGGGGUGGAAUUCCAAGUGUAGCAGUGAAAUGCGUAGAGAUGUGGAGGAACACCGAUGGCGAAGGCAGCCCCCGGGGUCGACACUGACGCUCAUGCACGAAAGCGUGGGGAGCAAACAGGAUUAGAUACCCCGGUAGUC